GCCGAAAGUGCUCGACAGAUUGCGUUCGGAUCAAAUAAUCAAGCUCGCUGUGUUGUGGAGAACAACUAAGCCUAUGAUGAACGGCUGAAGAUUAAGUGUGAAGAGCAAGAAGAAGAAGAACAUGAGGAAAAUAAAUGAGAGGUCA
ensembl:ncRNA C33F10.22 ncRNA